CACGUCCGAUAGCGUAUCAAGUCGUUGAAGCUUGGAGAAGACCAAGCGAGUAACUAUUCCGUCGUCAUGAAGCGAUACGCACAUUCUCUACCGGGCAUCGUCUCGCAAGAUGAUCUCAUCAGGCGCGGCACCUUAGUCGGAGUAUCGGCGCUGCGCACAGCUUGCCGCUUCCAGUCCUCCAUUGGAGAGCAGCGCUCCGUCGCCCGGAUGAGCAAGUCCGCCUACCGUCACCCGCUCGCACCCAAGGAUCCGUCGCAGCGCAACGUCACGAUACCGAUACGAGCGAGCCGGGCCGCCGCUUCUGCGUCUUCCUCAUCGGCCUCCGCCGCCCUUUCGGCAGAGGAUCUCAAGAGGCAGGCCCAGAAGGCGCUGCUACUUCAAAUGCAGCAGGAGGUGCUCUGGGAGGGAACAGUGAUCGACGACGUGCAUCACGCGUUGGUACAGCACUUUGUGAAGCUCAGCACUAACGAGAAGUACCGGCAAGCACGGCAGAUGCUCGUCAUCGGUGGACGCGCUAUGAUCGAGGAGCUGUGCCGCGCCGGGCACCGGCCACGCCACCUGAUGGUAGAGUGCGGUAAGCGGAUCCCGGAGUUUCUCCGGGACCGCCGGAAAACGGACGUCGUACUUGUCGACAGGUCUGUCUCGGCUGCCGUCACGCCGGGCUCAGACGGCUACGUUGGUGACUUUGAGAUCCCAACGCCGCCGAUGAAGGAGCAGCUCAUAGCGAAUCACCAGCGGCUGAACCGUGUGCUUGUCCUCGACAACGUCGAGGACCCUGGUGUGCUCGGCACCCUCCUCCGCACUGCCUCGGGGUAUCAAUACGACGCGAUCAUCGCGACAAAUCACUGCGCUGACCUGUACGACCACCGCGUCGUUCGCGCUGCCCGCGGGGCGCACUUUCAAACCUCCGUCCCAAUCUACACGUUGAAGGAGGAGGAUGGCGAUGACGUGUAUGGCUUGCUGAAUCACGUUGUCGAGCGCAACAACCUUCUGCCGCUCUGCUACACCACACAGGCAGACGCUGCCGACGUGGAUGGCGGGACUGCGGGAACGCGGACAGGGUUUGUCUCCUCACCGGAGGCGCCUGUAGGACGCGUCUUUCGGUCUAGCGUGGUGGGGGCGGCACCCGUGCCUCUUCCGGCACCGCGGCAGUCCGACUCCUCCUACGCGGCAUCGUCGUUGCGCGGACUCGCCGGCGUCUCGCAGGCGAGAGAGGAGCUGCUUUCGGACUUCUGCCUCGACCGUUUCACAGGCGCCUCCAGCGCUGAGGACGAUGCGCAAAGCGGCUACAUUCUCUUUGCCGGCCCGAACCACAAGCGGAACAUGCUUCGUCGUCUGGAAAGGAAAUUGUCGCGGAGAAGCACGCGGCUUCUUCUCGACAGCCUCCCGUCCCCGAGCGAGGCGCCGUCGGAUCUGCUCAUCGCGAUGUCAGUCGUGCUCUAUACCCUCCGCCCGCGGGGCAACUGGGAUUACCUGCCGGUGGACACGAAGCGGGAGCACUCCACGUUGGACUUGCAGGCGAAACACGCCUCAGUGGACAUUGGCGUCAACCGACUGCGAGUCAGCGCUGAUGACAUCAACCUCGAUGAGGCGGAGCAGCAAGAUCGUGCGCACGAGGCAAAUGAGCUCAUGCGCUGGCGGCGGCUCGCACGUCGCCGUGGCAGCGACCACGACCAUUGGAUGGUAGCGGAGCAGCGACGGGUGCAGGCAAUGGUGAGGCGCGAGCGGCAGCGUCGUGUGGCGCCCUGGAUGCCAUUACGUGACGCCAAGACAAAGCCGAUGCCGGACUGGGUACCGAACAUUAUCGACGAAUACCGCCAGUCUCUUGAUCGCGACGCGCUGACGCACGAGCGCGACAUCAGCACCAGCUAUCAACGGCCACCGAGGUGAGCGCCGCGGAAAAACCUUGUUUCGGUGGUGCUGGCGUCUACUAGCAGGCUCCGUCCCGAGAAUUUUCCCCUCUUUUUUCCUGCUCUGUCGGCCGGUGUUAGGGAGCAGACGACCCAUUGCACUUGUGCCCGCAUGCACAGAGAGAGAUGCAUGCGCACGCACGCGGGACUACUCCCUGUCUGACGUCCCCGCGCGGCUCUACCUUGCCUUCGGGUGUGUAACCUAAACACUGCAGCUGCUGAGGAAGCAAGCGGCCAAAAAAAAACGAAAAAAAAAAAUAACAUGUAUGCUAUGAAAUUAUGCGGGUUUAAAGUCUUGCAUCCCCCAGCUACUCUCCCACAUUCUGCCCUGAGUGGAGGAAAGAUCUGUGCUGCGAAGCGCUGAGAGCACAGAUGGAUUCUCUGAGAGCCGUAUGCGUGGUCUCUCGUUGUCUUCUCCCUGUCGCACUCCCCUCUGUUGUCCGCCGACAUGGCCUCAUUCGCCGAUCUCUUCUUCCGCGCUGGACAG
rnacentral:misc_RNA from 1 species